rnacentral:SRP_RNA from 1 species
GCCAGGUGUGGUGGUGUACACCUGUAGUCCUGGCUACUCUGGAGGCUGAGGUACGAGCAUUGCUUGAGCCCAGGAGUUCAAGGUUGCAGUGAGCUAUGAUCCCACCACUGCAAUUUAGCCUGGCCAAUACAGCGAGACCCUGUCUCAG